AGCGAACGCUGGCGGCAGGCCUAACACAUGCAAGUCGAACGAACUCUUCGGAGUUAGUGGCGGACGGGUGAGUAACUCGUGGGAACGUGCCUUUUGGUUCGGAAUAACUCAGGGAAACUUGUGCUAAUACCGAAUGUGCCCUUCGGGGGAAAGAUUUAUCGCCAUUAGAGCGGCCCGCGUCUGAUUAGCUAGUUGGUGAGGUAACGGCUCACCAAGGCGACGAUCAGUAGCUGGUCUGAGAGGAUGACCAGCCACACUGGGACUGAGACACGGCCCAGACUCCUACGGGAGGCAGCAGUGGGGAAUCUUGCGCAAUGGGCGAAAGCCUGACGCAGCCAUGCCGCGUGAAUGAUGAAGGUCUUAGGAUUGUAAAAUUCUUUCACCGGGGACGAUAAUGACGGUACCCGGAGAAGAAGCCCCGGCUAACUUCGUG
rnacentral:rRNA from 1 species